GACCCUGCGAAUAAGACAGAAUAUUAGCAUGAAGUAAUUGUAGCCCUCUCCUCUUUGUAACUUACUAUAAGAAAUUAGAUCCUUUACUGCCCCAAAAGUGUUGGAUCUUUAAUUUUUGAUGGCUGGCAGUGAUCUUAAAUUUAUACACAGUUUUGCUAUAGAACAAAGUUAAGUUGUAAAGCAGAUGUUUGUGUGUAGAGGUGGUCAAUAUACCUUGAUGUGUAAAUAUCAAGGAUUGGUGUGGACUGUCACUUCAAGAGACAUCACUCAUUUUAGUCACUGAGUUUGCUGUGCACAAUAUCUAUUUUCUUCUUCUUACCAAAAACUUAUAGUAGAAAUAAAGAAUCAUGAAAACCGUUAUAGAAAGUUAUUCUGGCUAAUGGGUUGAAUACCACAGCAUUUUGUAUUUCUUAUAUGAUUAAUUUUUGUCCUGUAUGUGGGCUGCAGCAGGUUGAGAGAUGGACUACAGAGCUUCAGUCACUACUGACCUAGGCUGGAUGUGAACUGCCAACCUUGAGGCAAGGUACUAGUAGUGUGCGCCACGCAAAAUAAGUGAAUGGUUUCAUGUCAGUUCUCAUACUUCCCGGGAUAGACCAUUGCCUCAGUAAUUUGAACAGAGGCCACAUCCUGAACAGUCAUGGAAACAGUUACCCUCAUCCCUUGACUACACCCUGAUAGAUGGUAGGUGACCAGAUGUCCUGAUUUUAUAGGGACAGUCCCGAUUUUUGGGUCUUUUUCUUGUACAGACUCCUAUUACCCCUUCUCCUGACCCAAUUUUUCACACUUGCUGUCUGGUCGCCCUAGUAGAUGGGGUAACUAGCAUUGUUGCUGCCUAUGCUUAUCUGUCUGUAGUUAAUGUGGUUGUUACUCCUGUCAGCACCUUUUAACAACACUAAGCUCAUUGAAAGUUUUGUUGUUCUUUUUAAGUUGUAGGGUAUGCCUAUUCUAAAUACAGUAUUAGUAUGGCUCACUUCACUUCCUGUCUCUAAGUGGCAGAAAGAUGCUGUCUUCAUCAUGAAUUUAGAAUAAGCCCUUCCCAGAUUAUGUAUGCACAUCUCUAAAGCACUCCACUCUCAAGCAGUCAGAAAGUAAAGGUACAAGGUGUCACUUUCCUUGUUAGUGCCACUAUAAAAAGACCAAAAUGUGUGAAAUUCAAGGUUUAGUGGCAUCGAGGAGCUAAAGCUGUUUUUUUUUAAAAAAAAAAAACAAAAACCUGAACUGUUUUUAAAAAAUCUAAACUACAUGGCUGCAGUUCUAUUCCUACAGCAUCACUAUGUCCUAUGGGAUUUAAGCUUCUCUUUUUUUUUUCUCCCAUGCUCAAUGGAAUUAUCUGAAUUCCAACUGUAGCCUGCUAAUUCUCCCUCCUCUUUUAAAUGUGCUCCCUUACAGCAUGGUACAGGGUCAGAGGGUAUGAGGGUUCAUAGUCAUGGAUAGUCCUCUUAUUCUUGCUGAAAGUGAACAGAGCUGUGACCAACACUCCAUGAACUAAUCAAUAUGGAGGCUGUUCAGAAGUGCUGUACGUGUGCCUUUAGUGGUGGGCGUACUGUAGCUGUCUGCUCUCAGCUUUGGUAGUCUGGGAAUGAAGCUAAAUGAUGUAAUGCAACCCAAAGCUACUGUCUAGCUAUUCAGAGUUUUACUAUAUAUCCACUUUUUUCCCAUAAUGUAAUUAGUGCUUAAAUGGAGAAACUGAAUGGAGGCCUGCAUCUUGCAUUCAGCAACACCAUCUAGAUUUCUCUGAACAUUUGAAGGGGUUAUCAGCAGUGAUACAGCCCAUACAGCUAGCCUUGUGUGAGAUACUGCAAUAUAGCAGCUGUCCUUUAAGUGUUGCCCCUUAUCAGUUGGAAGCUGGCAGCAAGCAACAGCUUACUGUAACUGGUACGGGUAAAUAUUUGUUACAGAUGGUUAACAUUAAACUUGUGAGAAAUGUUAGUGCUUUUAACUUAUUUUGAGGCCAAAUUUGUCACUGGAAACUUUCUCAGCAGGAGUAUUCCUUUCUGACAUGGCACACUUGUGAUCCCUGUCUCUGCAAAAUGUUUUCAGUCUUGCUGCAUUGGAAUCUGCUGUUCUCCAGCCAACAGCAGAAACGCACACCCUUUCAAAUACCCAAAUUAGCAGUGGCAUGAAAACACCAUAAAAUUGAUUACUUUCCUUUUAAUAACAUAACGGGAACAUAUUCUGGAUUAUGAAAUUAAUAUUUACUUAUGAAAAUCAAAUUGUUGUUUCUCUGUGAUAAACACGUAUUGUAUUAUGCCCACUAGGGAGAAUGAACUAGAUUGUGAAUCAUUCUAUUGUAUAUGUAAUUAGGUAUGUAGGAGCUUUAUUCAAAGUACUGAAAACCUCUUGGCCUUUGUGAAUAGGAAACAACAUUUUCAUAAAUCAAUCACUUAGUGUGGUAUCACUGCUGAUUUUAUAAAUUUUGUCUUUGUUCAAAAUAUCACAAGUGAUUCUAACUCUUGGAUGAAAGCUUUUUUAUUUAUGUGAGGGUUAGGGAAUGCAGCUGCUUCUGCCUUGCAUUAAAAUUAAAGACCCAUAUUCGUUCCAGAUUGAAACCUGCUAUGUGAAUUUUCAGCUGGUGCAAUUUAAGCUGGCUACCUCCACUCCUUGAAUGUACCAAUAGCUUCGAGUCCCAAUGGCAAGCAGGGACUGGUGAUAAAACAAAGUGAUAAGUAAAAUAAAUACCUGUGUGGCAUCCCAGGCUUUGUAUUGCAGGGUUCCUGUGCUGAUGUAGUCAGUGAGGUAAAAUAUAAACAAGCUUAUAAUUAGCACAGGACUGGCAAAAGCCCACAUAAUUUUCCAAUACCAGUUUGGCUUAUGUCCGAGCAUUAGGAGAAGGUCUUUUUCAAAUCUGUUUUAAAUUUAAAAAAAAAAAAAAAUUACACCAUUUGUUGAAGUAUGCUACUAUUUUUAGUUUAGAUUUUGCAUUAGUAGGUUAGAUACUAGGAAAAAAACUUCUACCUGCAAAGGGCAGUUAAGCUUUGGCAUAGGCUUCCAAGGGCAGUUGUGAAAUCCCCAUCACUGGAGGUAUUUAAGAACUGGUUUGACAAAUGCCUGUCAGGGAUGGACUAGGUUUCACUGGUCCUGCCUCAGUACAGGGGCCUGGACUUGAUGACUUUUCAAGGUCCCUUCCUCGUAUUUCUUGGCCAGGAAAACUCGGAUGGCUAUUAUUGCAGACAGCUAAAUACCAUUGGGCUCUACGUUAGGGGAAAAAGGUGUAUUUUGAAAGAUAUAAAGGAAAAAGGGUUGUGGGGACUUUCUAAUGUGUAGGGCCUAGAGAUUAAUAUGUGAAGCCUGUUAACAAGCCCUAUCUGAGUAUGUACAAAUAAUAUGUACCUAGGUGUGCCCUACAACUAUAAAGGACCGAAUCUGCCUGUAGGGAGAAAGCAUGUGUGGCUAGGCAAGAUGUGAGCUGAAAGAGACCUAGCUGCAGGGAAUUAGCCUCGCUAGGAGUAUCUGCUAAGGUCAAAAGGUGGCGUAAUUUCUAUUGAGCAGAAGUUAAGUGGAAAAGCGAAAGAGCUUGAGAAAAGCAGGUAGAAUCAUUAAGUUUUCUAGCUGUUUUUUUUUUUUCCAACCUAAGCGACUGCCCCCUAAACAAAGGCAAAAAGUUCUGUAUUCGUUCAGAAAAUGCAUGCUGCUCAGUGACCUAGGAGACAGAUUAUGGCCCUGGCAGAAAUGCUUAAGUAACCUAUGUGGACAAAACUGACUGCCACCUUUUUUAUUUUCAAACCUGUGGGGAAGUGUGUGUUUGGCACUAUGCAGUACCAUAAGAUCCUUUGUGAAAAUGUGUGGGAAAUACUAAGCAUGGGAGUCACAUAUUUGGUCCCAGGUUUUGUAUAAUGAUGUAACAUACAUCUAUGAACUGGAUGUAGUAAAUAUGUUUACAUAUUUUAAUGACUUAAUUGGAUAUACAUAGAUACAUGGAUAUUAAGGUCAGAAGGGACCCUUAUGAUCGUCUAGUGUGACCUUCUGCACAACGCAGGCCACAGAAUCUCAACCACCCACUCCUGUAAUAAACCCCUAAUCUAUGUCUGAGCUA